rnacentral:rRNA from 1 species
AGAGUUUGAUCCUGGCUCAGGAUGAACGCUGGCGGCGUGCUUAACACAUGCAAGUCGAACGGGGCUAUCUGGAAAGAGACUUCGGUCAAUGGAAGGAUAGCCUAGUGGCGGACGGGUGAGUAACGCGUGAGUAACCUGCCUAGGAGUGGGGAAUAACAGUCCGAAAGGAUUGCUAAUACCGCAUAAUGCAGUUGGGUCGCAUGGCCCUGACUGCCAAAGAUUUAUCGCUCUUAGAUGGACUCGCGUCUGAUUAGCUAGUUGGCGGGGUAAAGGCCCACCAAGGCGACGAUCAGUAGCCGGACUGAGAGGUUGGCCGGCCACAUUGGGACUGAGAUACGGCCCAGACUCCUACGGGAGGCAGCAGUGGGGAAUAUUGGGCAAUGGGCGAAAGCCUGACCCAGCAACGCCGCGUGAAGGAAGAAGGCUUUCGGGUUGUAAACUUCUUUUAAGAGGGACGAAAAAAAUGACGGUACCUCUUGAAUAAGCCACGGCUAGUAC